CCUACGGGUGGCUGCAGUCGAGAAUCAUUCACAAUGGGGGAAACCCUGAUGGUGCGACGCCGCGUGGGGGAAUGAAGGUCUUCGGAGUGUAAACUCCUGUCAUGUGGGAGCAAAUUAAAAAGCUAGUACCACAAGAGGAAGAGACGGCGAACUCUGUGCCAGCAGCCGCGGUAAUACAGAGGUCUCAAGCGUUGUUCGGAAUCACUGGGCGUAAAGCGUGCGUAGGCUGUUUCGUAAGUCGUGUGGGAAAGGCGCGGGCGCAAACCGCGGACGGCACAUGAUACUGUGAGACUAGAGUUGUGUAGGGGGAACCGGAAUGCGCGGUGUAGCAGUGAAAUGCAUAGAUAUC
rnacentral:rRNA from 1 species